rnacentral:rRNA from 1 species
AGAGUUUGAUCAUGGCUCAGAAUCAACGUUGGCGGCGCGCUUAACACAUGCAAGUCGGACGAGAAAGUGGAGCAAUCCAUGAGUACAGUGGCGUACGGGUGAGUAACACGUGGGUAAUCUACCUUUUGGUGGGGGAUAACCUGGGGAAACCUGGGCUAAUACCGCAUAAUCCCGCAAGGGCAAAGCAGCAAUGCGCCGAUAGAGGAGCCCGCGGCCGAUUAGCUAGUUGGUGGGGUAAUGGCUCACCAAGGCGAAGAUCGGUAGCCGGCCUGAGAGGGCACACGGCCACACUGGCACUGAAACACGGGCCAGACUCCUACGGGAGGCAGCAGUGGGGAAUCUUGCACAAUGGGGGCAACCCUGAUGCAGCGACGCCGCGUGAGCGAUGAAGUCCUUCGGGAUGUAAAGCUCUUUCGACGGGAACGAUAAUGACGGUACCCGGAGAAGAAGCUGCGGCUAACUACGUGCCAGCAGCCGCGGUAAUACGUAGGCAGCAAACGUUGUUCGGAAUUACUGGGCGUAAAGAGUGUGUAGGCGGUGCCGUAAGUUCGGUGUGAAAUCUCCUGGCUUAACUGGGAGGGUGCGCCGAAAACUGCGGUGCUCGAGGAUGGGAGAGGAAAGCGGAAUUCCUGGUGUAGCGGUGAAAUGCGUAGAUAUCAGGAGGAACACCUGCGGUGUAGACGGCUUUCUGGACCACCCCUGACGCUGAGACACGAAAGCGUGGGUAGCAAACAGGAUUAGAUACCCUGGUAGUCCACGCCCUAAACGAUGCAUACUUGGUGUGAGCCAUUCAUUUGGUU